GUGGUCCCCUCUCUGCUCAGCCUGCCUGAGCUGGUCUGAGGGUCCUGAUUUUUCACCAGUGCCUUCCCUUCUACUGUUCCCUGAGGACAGGCACCCCCAGAUGGAAACUCUGACUUGCCCUCUACCUCAUCUCCACAGGAACCUUCCUCCUCAAAAAUCAAAGAACACAGUGGAUGCGAAAAUAUUCCAUAAAUGGAAAAACGUAGAUGUAGAGAAGAACUAAGCCACAUCUGUCGAGGGCCCUGCACUUGCCAGGUCAUGAGCUAUGAAGUUGAUUUACUGACCCAUGAAUGGGUCACAACCCGCAGUUUGGAAACAGCUGGAUGGACCCCCACCUGUGCUUUCCAGCUUCUCCUAGAGCCUCAGGGCCCCAGGAAGGCAGUGUGGUCUCUGCAACCAGGUCCUUCUCCUGGGAGAAACACUUCAACUUUUGCAAAAGAUUCAUUAAUUCAUCACCAUGGCACCCAGAAA
rnacentral:lncRNA from 1 species